GCCGCGGGCGCUAGGACCCCGCGCGCCGCGCGCACUUCCUCCCGCCGCGGUCCGAGCCGCCCGCGCGGGGCCCGCGGCUCCCGCCCUCCGGCCGGCGCCGCCCUACCUGGCGAAGCAGUACUCGCAGUGGUUGCCCCGCUCGUUGACCUGAUUUUUUUUCCUGUCUCAUUGAGAAAGAUUUCCAAGAGCUGAGAAAACCAUAGCAUAGCUACCAAGUUGUCUUCCCAGGGACUGAAAAUGUCUCAGGAAUUAUGUAGAGGAAGACAUGUUUUAGGCAUUUCGGAAGAACACAUCUUUGAUCUAAAUGGCCAGAUUAACUUCCAGAAAGCCCUCCGAGAAUCAUGGAUCCCAAUGGCCUUCAACUGAGUUUUGCUCAGUUCAUCUCCACAAAUGUUGAUAACUCAGCUGGCCUUGCUGUUGCUGUGUCCCCUGUUCACUGCUUGCUUGCGCACGAGAUAGUGUGGAGGAAACACGGAGAAGAGCUCUGGAAUGUUUUCUGUAGUUCAAGGGAGUUAUAGAGAUCUACUUCCAAUCUACUUGUUUUGCUCCUCACAUCUACAGAUGGCUUUGAGAGCAUCCACUCUGGGCAUGGUCCUGUAUUGUUCCCCAUGGGAGGAGUAUAAAAGGUGAGUGGCAGUGAUUUUAAGGAAGUUCUUGUGAAAUCAAACGAUGGAAGGCUGACACAACAGAUCCAUGUGAGUGGACAGUCACAAACACGUACAAUAUCUGAAUGGACCGAGCUCUUUCAGGGAGAGUCCUCCAAGAUUUGGUUGAAAUUUUAUCCCAAUCUGCUUCCCCCCAGUUGUGCCCUGCCUUGACUCUUGUUGAGUGUAGUGCCGUGAGUUUGUAUUUUACUUGCAGGGAGUGCCCUUCUUAGGGAAUGGGCUGCCUUGCGCCACAAGUGUGGGCUUUUCUUCCCAGAGCCUUUGUUGUCAUCAUCUCUGAUCCAUGAAUGGUUCAGUGAAACUGAUGUUAUUGUGAAUUGUGUUAUUUCCUCUGCAUGACCCUUCUGAAAUACUGCUUUUAGCGACUACUCUCAUACCAUUUCAUUGCUCAAGAAAGCACUUGUGAUUUUGGUUAAGUUUCCAAACUUAAAGAUGGUCAUUAUGUUUCCAUCACUUUAUACAUUUACUUGUAGACCAAAAAAUACAGUGCUGCAGGUCAGCAUGAUACCUUUGGUCAGCUGCCUGAGGUCCUGGCUAACCCUGGAAGCUCUGCAGCUGCAGGAGUACGAAGCAAGGGAAUUCCCCUGAAGGCAAGAUGAAGUCCAUCUGGCCUUCCUCUGCCCCGUACCUGGCCCAGUGCCUUGCACAUAGUAGAUGCUCAAUAAAUAUUUGUACACUGAAAGAGAGCAAAGAGCAAAUGCAAUGUAAUAAUUCUCUUGCAGUCUCUAAAAAUAUUCCUCUGUGCAGCAGCUUCUGACGUAGAUGGUAUUUAACAGACACCCGUAUGUACAAGGCUUUGUGUUUCAAAUUUGUUAAUUGAUUCAAUACCCAUAACCAUCCUGUGAGCUGACUUACAAAUUCAAAUCUAGCAGUUAGAAUUUUCUCAGCAGACUUGAGGAGAAUAUGUUUGUCCCAAACUUCUAGUCUAGUAUCAGAUUUCAUCUAUGAAAACUCAGGCCUGGUUGGGGCAAAAAUUCCUUGGUAGCUUGACUUCAGCUUCCUGGAUACUCAGCACAUUUCCCUCUUGCAGUCUAACAUCAGAGGCAGUUCUCUCAUAGUCCGAGAAGUGUCUGGCUUCUCUGGUUUCCAUGUACUAUAUUUCAAAGUUAAGAACAUAUAUAUAUUGUAAAAGUAGUAUGUUUUGCAAAACAUUCAACUAAUGCAGAAGCAUAUUUAAAUAAAGACAUAAAAUGCUUGCUUCUUUCUCUCUUCUCUAGACUUUAACUGUGAAAUUUAUGCACCAGAGGUAGCUGCCACUUGUCAUUAUCAGUUUGGGGUGUUUUCCCGUAUAUUUUCUGAGCCUUGUUCUAGGAUCAUAUUAUUCAUAUUGUUUUGCAACCUUAGUGUUUUUUAUUUAACAGUAUAAUGUGGACCUCUUCCAUGGCAGAAAAUUUAAUUUAACUAAUUUUUUUAGUGGCUUCAAAGCAAUGACUAUCAACAAAUAGCAUUUAUUGAGUGUGUGGAGGAACCACUAUUGAGUAUUAUUUAAUUUUAUUAUCACAAAAGCCAUUCGAAGUAGGAAAUUUUGUCCACUUUUAUUUUUAUAUGAGUAAAUUGAGCACUUUUUUAUUUAUCAUAAUUCAUUUAACUAGUCUCUAAUAAGGCACAUGCAAUCAAAUAUAUAUAUGUAUAUGUUAUCUGCAAUGAGCAUCUGUGGGGUAAAAUCCUAGAUUCAUUUUUUUCCCAUGCCUAUUUUUGACAGCUCGCUAUGUACCAGGAAGUGUUCUGGCAUGACUAAUACUGUGUUGAAGACAAACAGGGAUCCUGUCUCAAUGGUACUUACAUGCUAGUGGAUAAACAGAUAAUAAUUAGACAGAUACCUAUCAUGAUAUAUAUAUAUAUUUAUAUAUAUGUCAGAUAAUGGUGUAUACUAAGAAUAAAAAGGAGAGUGAUAGCAUGGCUAUUUCAGAAAAGGUGGUGAGGGACAGUUUCUCUGAGGGACCUGAACGCUCAGUGAACAUCUGAGCUCCUACAGCACAUUGAGGGAGAGAACAUUCUAGAACAGCAGGCACAAAGGCCCCAUCUGAGAUGAAAAUGAUUCUGGUAUGUUCAAGGAGAGAAAGGAAUAUCUAAGAUGACUCCUAGGUUUGGGGACUUGAGGAAAAUGCUAAGUGGUAGGGCCCUUUAUUGAGAC